AAUUGGAAGAACCGCUUCUUUAUCUUGAGGAGCAAAAUACCGAAUGACCUUGAGGGUUUUCAUCGAAGCUGGCGGCACCAGGGUCCCCUACUCCCGAAGCGUAUCACCCUGAAUAGAGAAGAAGGAUUAAUAGUGAUGGAUCUGAAGGAUCAGGCGGACCGAGAGAAGCUUUCUUGUUUAGACGCAGUGACUGCCAAGCUGCAC
rnacentral:misc_RNA from 1 species